rnacentral:rRNA from 1 species
AUACGGAGGGUGCAAGCGUUGUUCGGAAUUACUGGGCGUAAAGCGCGCGUAGGUGGUCUGUUAUGUCAGAUGUGAAAGUCCACGGCUCAACCGUGGAAGUGCAUUUGAAACUGGCAGACUUGAGUACUGGAGGGGGUAGUGGAAUUCCCGGUGUAGAGGUGAAAUUCGUAGAUAUCGGGAGGAAUACCGGUGGCGAAGGCGACUACCUGGCCAGAUACUGACACUGAGGUGCGAAAGCGUGGGAGCAAACAGGAUUAGAAACCCGAGUAGUCC